rnacentral:tRNA from 1 species
GCCCAGGUGGCUCAGUCAGUUGAGCGUCUGACUUCGGCUCAGGUGAUGAUCUCACAGUUUGUGAGUUUGAGCCCCACGUCGGGCU